AAUACUAUUUCAGUUUUUCUACUUCAAAAAUUCAUGUUUAAUUCAGUGUUACUUGCUGUUUCUUUGUAAUUGUGAAAUGCACUAGCAAAGUGACAAUUGUUAAAAAAUCAAUUGUAAAAAAGUUCAAUGUGCCUAUAUUUAUCUGUUCUUACAGAGAAAAAAGAAGAAGUGGCAGUGAGACUAAAAAGAGACGAAACCUGUCUUACAUCAGCCUCUAAUUGGAGUGAAGGCAGUGAUGAAUCUCUUGACACACUUGAGACGAUGACGUGCAGUGCUGAUGUGGCCUUCAUUUGUCUGCGAGGACGUGUGAACAUCCCAGGGCCACUGUUGUUGUGUCUGUGAUGGCCUAUCAGUCCUCCUGCUUAUCUACGGUUUUACCGCAGAGAAAAGAAUUGGUCAUUUGCAUCCUCCGGGCUGAUAUCAGAAGGUAAUGAAUGGCUUUAGUCUGGUAAACGGUGUCUCUCUCCCUCUCGUCUCUGUGUGGAGUAAAUUAGUAUCAGCGUCUGCACACUGUGUCUCGGUGUAAAAAUGUCUCUCUGGCUUUUUUCCUGUUAUUUUCCGGACAGGCGUCUGUGAUUUCAUUAACACCACUUGUCAGCCAAACACAAUGGGGUUCCCACCUGGCAGCGUUUUAGCACGGACACAAAUACAUGUGCUUAUUCACGCGCUCUACUGUAGAUGAC
ensembl:lncRNA